rnacentral:rRNA from 1 species
GACGAACGCUGGCGGCGUGCUUAACACAUGCAAGUCGAACGGAAAGGCCCUGCUUUUGUGGGGUGCUCGAGUGGCGAACGGGUGAGUAACACGUGAGUAACCUGCCCUUGACUUUGGGAUAACUUCAGGAAACUGGGGCUAAUACCGGAUAGGAGCUCCUGCUGCAUGGUGGGGGUUGGAAAGUUUCGGCGGUUGGGGAUGGACUCGCGGCUUAUCAGCUUGUUGGUGGGGUAGUGGCUUACCAAGGCUUUGACGGGUAGCCGGCCUGAGAGGGUGACCGGCCACAUUGGUACUGAGAUACGGCCCAGACUCCUACGGUAGGCAGUAGUCGGGAGUAUUGCACAAUGGGCGGAAGCCUGAUGCAGCAACCCCGCGUGCGGGAUGCAGGCCUUCGGGUUGUAAACCGCUGUCGCCUGUGACGAAGCGUGAGUGACGGUAAUGGGUAAAGAAGCACCGGCUAACUACGUG